UUAAAUUUUAUUCUUACUUUAAUUUAUUUAUUUGAGAAAUAUCUUUAAAUUUAGUAUAUUUAUAGAAAGAUUUAUGUUUAGUUAUAGUUAAUUAGUAUCGUGAGAGAAAUAGAUGAAAUAAUAAUGAAAAUUUAAUUUUAAAAAAGUAGAUUUUAUUUAUUGUACCUUUUGUAUCAGGGUUAAUUAAAAGAUUUUGAUUUAUUUUAUUUUCUCGAUUUUAUAAGAGCUAAUUUCUUAAUUUGGUUAAUGUAUCAUAAUUAUUAAUAAUAAGUUUUAGAGGGGAUAUCUGUACCUUUUGUAUCAGGGUUAAUUAAAAGAUUUUGAUUUAUUUUAUUUUCUCGAUUUUAUAAGAGCUAAUUUCUUAAUUUGGUUAAUGUAUCAUAAUUAUUAAUAAUAAGUUUUAGAGGGGAUAUCCCAUUCGUUUUUAAGGGUAUCUAGUUUUUCAAGAAAUAAAUUUAAUUUAAUCUUAAAUUUUAAUUUUUUUAUUUAUAAUUAAUUAUUAUUUAAGUUAAAAAUUGUAGGGGAUAAUCUCUGCAUUAUUUUAUAUAUUAUUAUUAAUUUAACUGUAGUAGGGUUAGAAAUAUCCAUCUUUUGUAAGUAUGUUAUAAUUUAUGUUAAUUAAAAUUGAUUUAUUUUAUAUUAAGUUUUUAUUGAAAUGUCAGAUUUAAUAAUUAUUUCUGAGUAAUAAUGAUUAAAUUAGUAUAAUAAUUAUGUAUUUUAUAAUUAAGUGGUGAGGAUUAAAUAAGGAACUCGGCAAAUAAAACAUUCGCCUGUUUAACAAAAACAUGUCUUCUUGAAUAUAUAAGAAGUCUGACCUGCCCGGUGAAUAAGUAUUUAACGGCCGCGGUAUUUUGACCGUGCAAAGGUAGCAUAAUCAUUAGUCUUUUAAUAGAGGGCUGGAAUGAAGGGUUUGACGAAAUGUUUACUGUCUCAUUUAAUUUGGAAUUUGAAUUUAACUUUUUAGUUAAAAGGCUAAAUUGUUGUUGGAAGACGAGAAGACCCUAUAGAGCUUUAUAUUUUAAAAUUUAAAAGAUUUUUGGUGAAUUACUAUUUUUUAAAUGGAGAAUUAUUUUGUUGGGGUGACAAGAAUACAUAAUAAACUUUUUUAUUUUAAUAACAUUGAUUUAUGAUUAUUAGAUCCAUUAUUAUUGAUUGAUAGAGAAAGUUACCUUAGGGAUAACAGCGUAAUCUUCCUUCAGAGUUCAAAUUUACAGGAAGGCUUGCGACCUCGAUGUUGGAUUAAGAUAAUAAUUAGGUGUAGCCGCUUAAUUAAUAGGUCUGUUCGACCUUUAAAUUCUUACAUGAUCUGAGUUCAAACCGGUUUAAGCCAGGUUGGUUUCUAUCUCCAAUUUUAUACUAGUUUUUAGUACGAAAGGACCAGAAUUAGAAGAUAUAUUCUUUAAUAGAUUUGAAUUGUAUUA
rnacentral:rRNA from 1 species